AUUGAACGCUGGCGGCAGGCCUAACACAUGCAAGUCGAGCGAGCGGCGGACGUGUGAGUAAUGUAUGGGGACUGCCCGAUAGAGGGGGAUAACUACUGGAAACGGUGGCUAAUACCGCAUAUUACCGGAUAACCCCUAUGGGCGUAGCUAGUAGGUGGGGUAAAGGCUCACCUAGGCGACGAUCUCUAGCUGGUAUGAGAGGAUGAUCAGCCGCACUGGGAGUGAGACACGGCCCAGACUCAUACGGAGGCAGCAGUGGGGAAUAUUGCGCAAUGGGCGCAAGCCUGAUGCAGCCAUGCGGAGUGUAUGAAGAAGGCCUUAGGGUUGUAAAGUACUUUCAGCGGGGAGGCGUAACUCGCAGAAGAAGCACCGGCUAACUCCGUGCCAGCAGCCGCGGUAAUU
rnacentral:rRNA from 1 species